CAUUAUUUAAACUUCAGAUGUGCUUUUCCCUGUUAGUUGGUCACUGGAAAGAUGGCGGUUGUUAAGUUUCUGCUUAGUUGUGUGUUGAUCAGCUGGUUUGGCAAAGGGUCACCUAUGCCAGUUGAUGAGACUGGAUUAAAUGAAGUGCAGAAGACCAAAAUGAUCCUCUCUCCUAAUGAGAUUUCUCUGAAGAAGACAAUUGCCUUCCUCCAGUCAUUGGAUUCCAUGUGGAAGCAGAAUACUAGAAGUGAGCAG